rnacentral:lncRNA from 1 species
ACUAUGUGUACAAAUCCCCUCCUCCUCCGGUUAAACACUAUUCUCCUCCUCCUGUUUACCAUUCUCCACCACCACCCAAGAAGCACUAUGUGUACAAAUCUCCACCCCCACCUGUUAUGCACUACUCUCCCCCACCAGUCUACCAUUCACCACCACCACCCAAAAAACAUUACGUAUACAAAUCUCCUCCUCCUCCGGUUAAACACUACUCACCACCUCCAGUUUACCAUUCCCCACCCCCACCUAAAAAGCAUUAUGUCUACAAAUCUCCUCCACCACCGGUUAAACACUACUCUCCUCCCCCGGUUUACCACUCUCCACCACCACCAAAGAAACACUACGUGUACAAAUCACCUCCUCCUCCAGUUAAGCACUAUUCUCCACCUCCAGUUUACCACUCUCCACCACCACCAAAGAAACACUACGUGUACAAAUCACCUCCUCCUCCAGUUAAGCACUAUUCUCCACCUCCAGUUUACCACUCUCCACCACCACCAAAGAAACACUACGUGUACAAAUCCCCUCCUCCCCCGGUUAAGCACUACUCCCCUCCUCCAGUUUACCAUUCCCCACCCCCACCAAAGAAACACUACGUCUACAAAUCUC